rnacentral:rRNA from 1 species
GAUGAACGCUGACAGAAUGCUUAACACAUGCAAGUCAACUUGAAUUUGGGUUUUUAACUUAGGUUUGGGUGGCGGACGGGUGAGUAACGCGUAAAGAACUUGCCUCACAGCUAGGGACAACAUUUGUAAACGAAUGCUAAUACCUAAUAUUAUGAUAAUAGGGCAUCCUAUAAUUAUGAAAGCUAUAAGCGCUGUGAGAGAGCUUUGCGUCCCAUUAGCUAGUUGGAGAGGUAACGGCUCACCAAGGCGAUGAUGGGUAGCCGGCCUGAGAGGGUGAUCGGCCACAAGGGGCCUGAGACACGGCCCUUACGCCAACGGGAGGCAGCAGUGGGGAAUAUUGGACAAUGGACCGAGAGUCUGAUCCAGCAAUUCUGUGUGCACGAUGAAGUUUUUCGGAAUGUAAAGUGCUUUCAGUUGGGAAGAAACAAAUGACGGUACCAACAGAAGAAGUGACGGCUAAAUACGUG